rnacentral:piRNA from 1 species
UGCUACAAAUCAACACUACUUAUGGAGCAAA